UACGGCGAGUGAGCGGCUAAAGCUCAAAUUUGAAAUCUAGCACCUUCGGUGUUUGAGUUGUAAUUUGAAGAUGGUAACCUUGGGUUUGGCUCUUGUCUAUGUUCCUUGGAACAGGACGUCAUAGAGGGUGAGAAUCCCGUCUGAUGAGAUGCCCAUUCCUAUGUAAGGUGCUAUCGAAGAGUCGAGUUGUUUGGGAAUGCAGCUCUAAGUGGGUGGUAAAUUCCAUCUAAAGCUAAAUAUUGGCGAGAGACCGAUAGCGAACAAGUACAGUGAUGGAAAGAUGAAAAGAACUUUGAAAAGAGAGUGAAAAAGUACGUGAAAUUGUUGAAAGGGAAGGGCAUUAGAUCAGACUUGGUGUUUUACGAUUAUCUUCUCUUCUUGAGUUGUGCACUCGUAUUUCACUGGGCCAGCAUCGAUUCGGAUGGCAAGAUAAUGGCAGUUGAAUGUGGCUUCACUUCGGUGGAGUGUUAUAGCUUCUGCUGAUAUUGCCUGUCUGGAUCGAGGGCUGCGUCUUUUGACUAGGAUGCUGGCGUAAUGAUCUAAUGCCGCCCGUCUUGA
rnacentral:rRNA from 1 species